GAUCAUGGCUCAGGAUAAACGCUGGCGGCGCACAUAAGACAUGCAAGUCGAACGGAAGUCGUUAUAAAAGGAUUGAAGAUUUAUCUGAUUGAGAUUUUAUAACAAUGGCUUUAGUGGCGGACUGGUGAGUAACGCGUGAGCAACCUGCCUACUAGAGGGGAAUAACAGUGAGAAAUCAUUGCUAAUACCGCAUAUGCCAUGAACAUCACAUGAUGAAAAUAGGG
rnacentral:rRNA from 1 species